GACGAACGCUGGCGGCGUGCUUAACACAUGCAAGUCGAACGGAAAGGCCCUGCUUUUGUGGGGUGCUCGAGUGGCGAACGGGUGAGUAACACGUGAGUAACCUGCCCUUGACUUUGGGAUAACUUCAGGAAACUGGGGCUAAUACCGGAUAGGAGCUCCUGCUGCAUGGUGGGGGUUGGAAAGUUUCGGCGGUUGGGGAUGGACUCGCGGCUUAUCAGCUUGUUGGUGGGGUAGUGGCUUACCAAGGCUUUGACGGGUAGCCGGCCUGAGAGGGUGACCGGCAGAAUGGGGACUGAGAGACCGACCAGACGCCUCCGGGAGGCAGCAGUGGGGAAUAGGGCACAAUGGGCGGAAGCCGGAUCCAGCAACGCCGCGUGCGGGAUGACGGCCUUCGGGUUGUAAACCGCUUGCGCCUGUGACGAAGCGGGAGUGACGGGAAUGGGUAAAGAAGCACCGGCUAACUACGUG
rnacentral:rRNA from 1 species